rnacentral:rRNA from 1 species
GGAUUAGAUACCCUGGUAGUCCACGCCGUAAACGAUGUCAACUAGCUGUCUGUGAACUUGAUUCGUGGGUAGCGUAGCUAACGCGCUAAGUUGACCGCCUGGGGAGUACGGCCGCAAGGUUAAAACUCAAAUGAAUUGACGGGGGCCCGCACAAGCGGUGGAGCAUGUGGUUUAAUUCGAUGCAACGCGAAGAACCUUACCAUCCCUUGACAUCCAGAGAAUUUUCUAGAGAUAGAAUUGUGCCUUCGGGAACUCUGAGACAGGUGCUGCAUGGCUGUCGUCAGCUCGUGCCG